UACAGAGGUCUCAAGCGUUGUUCGGAUUCAUUGGGCGUAAAGGGCGCGUAGGCGGCGUGACAAGUCACUUGUGAAAUCUCCGGGCUUAACUCGGAACGGUCAAGUGAUACUGUCGUGCUAGAGUACAGAAGGGGCAACUGGAAUUCUCGGUGUAGCGGUGAAAUGCGUAGAUAUCGAUAGGAACACCUGCGGCGAAGGCGGGUUGCUGGGCUGAUACUGACGCUGAGGCGCGAAAGCCAGGGGAGCGAACGGG
rnacentral:rRNA from 1 species